rnacentral:rRNA from 1 species
UGGGGAAUAUUGGACAAUGGGCGAAAGCCUGAUCCAGCCAUGCCGCGUGUGUGAAGAAGGUCUUCGGAUUGUAAAGCACUUUACGUUGGGAGGAAGGGCAGUAAGCGAAUACCUUGCUGUUUUGACGUUACCGACAGAAUAAGCACCGGCUAACUCUGUGCCAGCAGCCGCGGUAAUACAGAGGGUGCAAGCGUUAAUCGGAAUUACUGGGCGUAAAGCUCGCGUAGGUGGUUCGUUAAGUUGAAUGUGAAAGCCCCGGGCUCAACCUGGGAACUGCAUCCAAAACGGGCGAGCUAGAGUAGGGCAGAGGGUGGUGGAAUUUCCUGUGUAGCGGUGAAAUGCGUAGAUAUAGGAAGGAACACCAGUGGCGAAGGCGACCACCUGGGCUCAUACUGACACUGAGGUGCGAAAGCGUGGGGAGCAAACAGG